CCUACGGGUGGCUGCAGUGGGGAAUAUUGCACAAUGGGCGCAAGCCUGAUGCAGCCAUGCCGCGUGUGUGAAGAAGGCCUUCGGGUUGUAAAGCACUUUCAGCGGGGAGGAAGGCGGUGAGGUUAAUAACCCCAUCGAUUGACGUUACCCGCAGAAGAAGCACCGGCUAACUCCGUGCCAGCAGCCGCGGUAAUACGGAGGGUGCAAGCGUUAAUCGGAAUUACUGGGCGUAAAGCGCACGCAGGCGGUCUGUCAAGUCGGAUGUGAAAUCCCCGGGCUCAACCUGGGAACUGCAUUCGAAACUGGCAGGCUAGAGUCUUGUAGAGGGGGGUAGAAUUCCAGGUGUAGCGGUGAAAUGCGUAGAGAUCUGGAGGAAUACCGGUGGCGAAGGCGGCCCCCUGGACAAAGACUGACGCUCAGGUGCGAAAGCGUGGGGAGCAAACAGGAUUAGAUACCCGGGUAGUC
rnacentral:rRNA from 1 species